rnacentral:rRNA from 1 species
CCUACGGGAGGCAGCAGUGAGGAAUAUUGGUCAAUGGACGAGAGUCUGAACCAGCCAAGUAGCGUGAAGGAUGACUGCCCUAUGGGUUGUAAACUUCUUUUAUAUGGGAAUAAAAUGUUCCACGUGUGUGAUUUUGUAUGUACCAUAUGAAUAAGGAUCGGCUAACUCCGUGCCAGCAGCCGCGGUAAUACGGAGGUUCCGAGCGUUAUCCGGAUUUAUUGGGUUUAAAGGGAGCGUAGGUGGAAUGUUAAGUCAGUUGUGAAAGUUUGCGGCUCAACCGUAAAAUUGCAGUUGAAACUGGCAGUCUUGAGUACAGUAGAGGUGGGCGGAAUUCGUGGUGUAGCGGUGAAAUGCUUAGAUAUCACGAAGAACUCCGAUUGCGAAGGCAGUUCACUGGACUGCAACUGACACUGAGGCUCGAAAGUGUGGGUAUCAAACAGGAUUAGAUACCCGUGUAGUC